rnacentral:rRNA from 1 species
AUUGAACGCUGGCGGCAUGCCUUACACAUGCAAGUCGAACGGCAGCACGGGAGCAAUCCUGGUGGCGAGUGGCGAACGGGUGAGUAAUAUAUCGGAACGUGCCCGGUCGUGGGGAUAACGUAGCGAAAGCUACGCUAAUACCGCAUACGAUCUACGGAUGAAAGCGGGGGAUCGCAAGACCUCGCGCGAUUGGAGCGGCCGAUAUCAGAUUAGGUAGUUGGUGAGGUAAAGGCUCACCAAGCCGACGAUCUGUAGCUGGUCUGAGAGGACGACCAGCCACACGUGGGACUGAGACACGGCCAGACUCCGUACGGGAGGCAGCAGGUA